rnacentral:rRNA from 1 species
UACGUAGGGGGCUGGCGUUGUCCGGAAUCAUUGGGCGUAAAGAGCGUGUAGGCGGCCCGGUAAGUCCGCUGUGAAAGUCGGGGGCUCAACCCUCGAAUGCCGGUGGAUACUGUCGGGCUAGAGUGCGGAAGAGGCGAGUGGAAUUCCUGGUGUAGCGGUGAAAUGCGCAGAUAUCAGGAGGAACACCGAUUGCGAAGGCAGCUCGCUGGGACGUAACUGACGCUGAGACGCGAAAGCGUGGGGAGCAAACAGG